UACGGGAGGCAGCAGUGGGGAAUCUUAGACAAUGGGCGCAAGCCUGAUCUAGCGAUGCCGCGUGAGUGACGAAGGCCUUAGGGUCGUAAAGCUCUUUCGCCAGGGAUGAUAAUGACAGUACCUGGUAAAGAAACCCCGGCUAACUCCGUGCCAGCAGCCGCGGUAAU
rnacentral:rRNA from 1 species